rnacentral:misc_RNA from 1 species
AACGCACGAGACCUGCGGACCUGCGGAGGGAUCAUUAUAGAGUGGUAAACCCCCCGUAAAAAGGGGGGACCUCCUGUCCUUUGUAGGCUCUUUUUUAAAAGGGCUUUUUUUAAUUUUCUGCUUCGGUGGGGUUAUCCCACCGGAACAACCUCAAAACUCUUAUCAAAAAAUCGUUCUGUCUGAGAACCUUUUAUAAUAAAAAAAAACUUUCAACAAUGGAUCUCUAGAUCGGAAGAGCAC